UCCCUAGUAGCUCAGUUGGUUAGAGCAUCUGACUGUUAAUCAGAGGGUCGUAGGUUCAAGUCCUACCUGGGGAG
rnacentral:tRNA from 1 species